rnacentral:rRNA from 1 species
GAUCAACGCUGGCGGCGUGCCUAAUGCAUGCAAGUCGAGCGCGGACCCCUUCGGGGGUGCUGCGCGGCGGACGGGUGCGUAACACGUGGGCAACCUGCCCUGGGGUGGGGGAUAGCCGUGGGAAACCGCGGGUAAUUCCGCAUACGUUGCUUUUCCGACGGGGAGGAGCAAGAAAGGCGCUUUGGCGUCGCCCGCGGAGGGGCCUGCGGCCGAUUAGCUGGACGGUGGGGUCACGGCCUACCGUGGCGAUGAUCGGUAGCUGGUCUGAGAGGACGGCCAGCCACACGGGGACUGCGACACGGCCCCGACUCCUACGGGAGGCAGCAGCAAGGAAUCUUCCGCAAUGGGGGCAACCCUGACGGAGCAACGCCGCGUGGGGGAUGACGCCCUUCGGGGUGUAAACCCCUUUUCUGCGGGAAGAAGGUGGGGCAACCCACUUGACGGUACCGGAGGAAGAAGGACCGGCUAACUACGUGCCAGCAGCCGCAGUAACAC